UAAUAAAUAUAAAAGUGGGUGCUUACGUUAACAAAUAAGGAGAAAAGGGGAAGGGGCUGUUCUACAAACCCCAUUUCCUUGCCGCUCUCUUCUCCAGCCUAGGGAGAUGGAAGAGGCUCCUCUCUUGUAGCUCUUAAUUUGCCAAAAACAAAUUUAAGGAAGAGGAAGUUAGUUUUCUUUUCCUUUGCUUGUGAAGAUUAGAACGAAUUAGGAAGAGAAGGACAAGGUGACUACAGAACAAGUCGACGAACACCGUCGGAGUUUAGCAUCAACAAAUUGUGUUGAGGUGGUGUAAGGUUGACUAGUUGAGUUUUGAGUUGCAGCUUUAUUGUGGACUAGUAGAAAAAGGAGUCCAGACAUAUAUAUCUUUUGGGUGAGCUGCCAAAGUAUUUUGUAUAGCUAGUCUUAGAAUGUAAAUGAUCCUUUUGUUGCGUUGUAGAUUAAGAAGAGGCUAGGCCACAAUGGGUUAGUGUCUCUACUUACCUAGGCAAUGAAAACCAUGUAAUAUAUGAUCACUUGUUUUUGGCUUGUAUAAUUUUUGCUCAUGUACAUUUUUCAUCAGAUGACCUGAACAUGAUUUUCUUGUAAGAAGCCUUGAACAACUCAUUAUAUUCUGUAAGGCUUAAUGAGUUACCUUUGGAGAACCAUUAUGAAAUUGGUUAUAUUUGUGGGUGUA